GACGAACGCUGGCGGCGUGCUUAACACAUGCAAGUCGAACGGAAAGGCCCUGCUUGCAGGGUGCUCGAGUGGCGAACGGGUGAGUAACACGUGGGUGAUCUGCCCCUUACUUUGGGAUAAGCCUGGGAAACUGGGUCUAAUACUGGAUAGGACCAUGCUGUAGGUGGUGUGGUGGAAAGAUUAGUUUCGGUAAGGGAUGAGCUCGCGGCCUAUCAGCUUGUUGGUGGGGGAAUGGCCUACCAAGGCGUCGACGGGUAGCCGGCCUGAGAGGGUGGGAGGCCACAUUGGGACUGAGAUACGGGCCAGCCUCCUACGGGCGGCAGCAGUGGGGGAUAUUGCACAAUGGGCGCACGCCUGAUGCAGCGACGCCGCGUGGGGGAUGACGGCCUUCGGGUUGUAAACUCCUUUCAGCCAUGACGAAGCCCUUGUGGUGACGGUAGUGGUAGAAGAAGCACCGGCUAACUACGUG
rnacentral:rRNA from 1 species